rnacentral:misc_RNA from 1 species
GAUGAAGAACGCAGUGAAAUUCGAUAAGUAAUGUGAAUUGCAGAAUUCAGUGAAUCAUCGAAUCUUUGAACGCACAUUGCGCCCCCUGGCAUUCCGGGGGGCAUGCCUGUUCGAGCGUCAUUACAACCCUCAAGCUCUGCUUGGUAUUGGGCUCUGCUGGGACCGGCAGGCCUUAAAAUCAGUGGCGGCGCCACUCGGCUUCAAGCGUAGUAAUUCUUCUCGCUUCGGAGACCCGGGUGCGUGCUAGCCAGCAACCCCCAACUUUCUUAGGUUGACCUCGGAUCAGGUAGGGAUACCCGCUGAACUUAAGCAUAUCAAUAAGCGGAGGA